AACGAACGCUGGCGGCAUGCCUAACACAUGCAAGUCGAACGAAGUCUUCGGACUUAGUGGCGCACGGGUGCGUAACGCGUGGGAAUCUGCCCUUGGGUGCGGAAUAACUUCUCGAAAGGGAUGCUAAUACCGCAUAAUGUCGUAAGACCAAAGAUUUAUCGCCCAAGGAUGAGCCCGCGUAAGAUUAGCUAGUUGGUGGGGUAAAAGCCUACCAAGGCGACGAUCUUUAGCUGGUCUGAGAGGAUGAUCAGCCACACUGGGACUGAGACACGGCCCAGACUCCUACGGGAGGCAGCAGUGGGGAAUAUUGGACAAUGGGCGAAAGCCUGAUCCAGCAAUGCCGCGUGAGUGAUGAAGGCCCUAGGGUUGUAAAGCUCUUUUACCCGGGAUGAUAAUGACAGUACCGGGAGAAUAAGCUCCGGCUAACUCCGUGCCAGCAGCCGCGGUAAU
rnacentral:rRNA from 1 species